ensembl:lncRNA
GGGGGGGGGGCGAGGCUGAGACCUGUGUGUGUGUGUGUGUGUGUGUGUGUGUGUGUGUGUGUGUGUGUGUGUGUGUGUGUGUGUGUGUGUGUGUGUGUGUGUGUGUGUGUGUGUCUGAUCCCAGACUCGGCCUCUUGAACAAGCAGGAUGUUGAAGUACUUCAACUAGUUUCAUCAAACUGAUCCCAGUUGGUGUUUUGCUUGUUGGACAUUGGAGGACCACUAAUUAACGCCCCCCCAAAUUGGGUUAUAGAUCAAACUUUUGUAACGAAGGGUUCCGUGUGGAACCAUUGCACGCUAGACGGGUUCCCCAUAGAAGAGUUCUUUUGGGGGGAACCGUGACAGAUUUUAGGAGAAAACUGAGCAUUUCCGGUGGAACCUUUUAAUAAGAUGUUCUACCAGAAAAGGGCUUUUUUAAAGGGACAGGAUGCAGAACCCUGUGAGGUUCUAGUUGGCAUGUUAAAGGAACUCUAACAUUUUUAGAAGAUAUUUAUUUGAUUAACAAACACCAGAAGAAGUAGAAACACUGAUCUUUGGGGUUAUUGAACAAAAGGAAUUUAUUUCUGUGUUUUUCGUGUCAUUCUUGUUUAUUCUGAAGUACAACUACGUUUGAUGUGGUAACUAAACUGUGUUACACUUAAAGAUCAGGGCUCAUUUUUAAACUCCAUUUAUCCGUUCUAGUUAUUCCGUAGAGAAAUCUCUACCAAUACGUGUAACGAGGGUCUGCACUGACUGAGGUUCUAGGCUGAUUUGUAGAACUUUUACAUUGAAACGUGGCAGAAGAACCCUGCAGGGGCAAAGAGAGGAACACAUUGGAGAGGUUCCAGCAAAGAGAGGAACACAUUGGAGAGGUUCCCGCAAAGAGAGGAACACAUUGGAGAGGUUCCCGCAAAGAGAGGAACACAUUGGAGAGGUUCCCGCAAAGAGAGGAACACAUUGGAGAGGUUCCCGCAAAGAGAGGAACACAUUGGAGAGGUUCCCGCAAAGAGAGGAACACAUUGGAGAGGUUCCCGCAAAGAGAGGAACACAUUGGAGAGGUUCCAGCAGUGGUUGUGAUGCUGCAGGAACAUCUGCUGGUUACUGUGAGGCGAUUCUGUUCAUCCAGAAUAUUUCAACAUUUUGCUUUCAAGCUGUUUGACGCCUUUCGCACUGAAGCAGAAGUUCCACGUUGUUGGAAACGCGCUGGUGUGUCUUCUCGCCGAGGGGGGGGGUCUCAUGUAACUACUGGCAACCGCUCUGCAAACGCUUCUCCUCAGCAGGUUGGAACAUUUGCACAAAUACUGGUGAAGGGAAAGUUACAGCGUGCGUCCUGGAUGAAAUGAGACUUGAAUUUAACGUGCGGUCAGAAUGAAGCCAGAAUGAAGCGGGGGGGGGUAGUAAAGUAUGAACUAGUUACGGCACUGUAAAUAUUUUGUGUCCAGGUUGCGUCGCUUGUUUGAAAUGCAGUUGAUCUGUUAUUUCGUUUCAGUUUCUUGCAUUGUGGCUCAACAGGGUGCGCUUGUUUCUGUUCGCACCCCGCUGUGGUGUUUAACCCGACAGAGGGAAGGAAUGUGUACAAACAUCUAACAUCCACGUUUGCUGACUAAUUAUUACGACGUUCAUCUCCAGUGUGGUUUAAGUGUUUUUACCAUGAAGGUCAAUAAAGAGUCUUUAUGUUGCCCUUCAAAACAAAACCAACAACGUUUAAUGUCAUGAUGAACAAGUUUACAACUAACGGAUGUUUUAUUAUUGUGAUAUGUUGAAAGUGUGACCUGUGUAUUGUUCCUGAUGACCUGCUGCUCUGACUCCUUCAACUGGAAGUAAAACAGACGUCUUUUAAACUUCAACGGCUCUUUUUUCCUGUUUGUGUUUGUUCAAUGGAUUCCUCAUUCUCAAUAUGGAUUCUGAUAUCUGGGUUAAUCCGCACCUUAUAAAGUCAUUUUAUUUAUUUACUGUGAAAGCACAGCGACCUGUCGCGGCUCCGCUUCCACAGGCUCCUUUUAGAGGGUCGGGGUAGUUCAUUCAGUAUGUGGGGUGACCAGCAGGGGGCAGCACCACAUCAGAGUCACCAGUAUAUGAGGUGACCAGCAGGGGGCAGUCACCAGUAUGUGAGGUGACCAGCAGGGGGCAGCACCACAUCAGAGUCACCAGUAUAUGAGGUGACCAGCAGGGGGCAGCACCACAUCAGAGUCACCAGUAUGUGAGGUGACCAGCAGGAGGCAGCACC